rnacentral:lncRNA from 1 species
CGGCCGACCCUGCGUCGCUUGGCCGGACGCUCCGUGUUUGGCGUCAUUGUCGCCAUCGUUGAACACGGUCCUCGGCCAGACAGGCAGCGUGUGCAUGUGCAGAGCCCAAAGCCGCCGCCCUCGGUGACGCUCGCGAGGCCCACGCAAAGAUGGGGGUUAUGGCUAUGCAUCUGGUUGGCGCGUGCGGUGCGGCAGAGGUGGCCGUCCACGAGGGUCGCAUCAAAGGCCACCUGUACCUCGUCGGGCGCGCACACGGUCGAUAGGUAGCAAAGCAUGUUGUCGCUGAUGAGGUCGGCGUCGACAAUGGAAAACGGGUCGAUGGCGACGCCCUUUUCCUCGACGAUAAAGCGCACAAUGUCCACAGAGCCCGAUCCGAUGGCACACACGACCAGGCGACGCCAGUCAAAGGGUGUCGGUAAGAGGGCGUCGACCAUGCGCACCGUCUCCAUGGAUCCGCAGCCGAUGGCGGCGCGCAAGAGCACCGCGUCGACAACAUGGGGAUAGCGGUCGGUGAGCCAGGCGAGCGCCGUCAACUGACCGUUGGCGGCGGCCAUGAGCGCGGCCGCACGUACGGUCGACAUUGCUGGACCCUUUUGCAGUGUGGCUGCAUGCGUGUCGCUGCUGUCGUCGUCCUUGUGCGCAAUAUUGCAUAUCCACGAGAGUACGUCGACGCGACCUCCUCGGGCGGCGCCGACGACCACGGGAUCGACGCGCAGUGUCGUGUUGGCGUUCAGGACGACGCGAAGCGUGUCAACGUGUCCCCUGGAGGCAGCCACGUCCAUGGCGCCUUGGAUCGCGUCGUGGUCGACAUCGAGGGCCUCGUCAGACAUCAUGUAUCGUACCAUGGUGGUGCGCCCUUGCGAAAUGGCAAGGACGAGGUCUUGGUUGUCGGCGCGCUCACAUCCACCCGCGCACCCGUGCAGCCGCAUCCACAGGAUGACGUCGGGCGUCGGGGCCGCCCAUGCCGCCCUGCCCACUAUGCCUGUGCACGAGCACGGACAGGGACUGUCUGGAUCAAACAUGCGAUCGUGCACAUAGGCCACCGACGUCGCGCUGCCGGCGCGUGCCGCCACUGCGACGAGAUCCUCGCAGAUCAUGUGCGUCGUGGUGCGCAGGAGGAUCGGGCGCGUUGUCAGGUAGCGGAGGGCCUCGAUGCGACCCAGGCGGGCGGCGGCACAAAUGGCAAACCAAUUGUACGUGUCGGUGCAGUCUGUCGGGUCUUGGUCGCCAAAGUCAAUGUCGACGAUGCGAGGCGUGUCGGGAUCUUGGUCGUCGACCAGCGGCUCAAAGUCGAGUCGCCCCAUGUCCUCCUGAUCACAUUUGUAUUGUCGCUGUCAGGCUUUUUCCCCUUUUCCUGUCUCCCCUCUUGGCCUCUCAAAAACUUUGGCGGGCAUUGGGGAAAAAAAAGGAAAAAAAUAGAAAAAUGAAAAAGAAAGAGCGACGCCAACCGAAAAAAGGUUGUUGGGGGCGCACCUCGACCAGGAUGCACACAAAGCGGAGCACGUCCAUGUGCCCACCUCUGACGGCGCUCUCGACAAAGCCACGUCCGAGCGGGCGCGGCCGCGCGAGAAUGGUCCUCUCGACAAUGUCGAGCGGGGCGCCCGCUUCGAGGAGACGAGCCGUGUAGACGGCCCCUUCCUGAAUGGCCAUGGCCAUGGCCGAGCGGCCGGCAAAGAGCCGCGAGGCAAUGAGCGCCGCCGCCAUAUCGCGCGCCCGAUCGAGAAAGCCGACAAUGUGCAGGCGCAACUCGGCCGGCAUGUCCUCUAGCGUGCAUCCGUCGACUGCAGCCAUUUCUGUCCCCGCUGCCUUGCUUUUGACUGGUCUUUAUGUCUUUUUGGUUUUUUUUUCGAAAAAAAACCUUUUGCGCUGGCCCUCUGUGGUGUCGAGCGGCCCAACACACACGACAGACCGCCGAGUUUAAAAUGAAUAAAAAAU